rnacentral:rRNA from 1 species
AAAUUGAAGAGUUUGAUCAUGGCUCAGAUUGAACGCUGGCGGCAGGCCUAACACAUGCAAGUCGAACGGUAACAGGAAGAAGCUUGCUUCUUUGCUGACGAGUGGCGGACGGGUGAGUAAUGUCUGGGAAACUGCCUGAUGGAGGGGGAUAACUACUGGAAACGGUAGCUAAUACCGCAUAACGUCGCAGGACCAAAGAGGGGGACCUUCGGGCCUCUUGCCAUCGGAUG